ACGGGAGGCAGCAGUGGGGAAUCUUGCGCAAUGCGCGAAAGCGUGACGCAGCAACGCCGCGUGGGGGAAGAAGGUUUUCGGAUUGUAAACCCCUUUCAGGAAGGACGAAGGUUCGGCAGUUAAUAGCUGACCGGACUGACGGUACUUCCACAAGAAGGUCCGGCUAACUACGUGCCAGCAGCCGCGGUAAUACGUAGGGACCUAGCGUUGUCCGGAAUCAUUGGGCGUAAAGCGCGCGUAGGCGGCCCGGUAAGUCCGCUGUAAAAGUCAAAGGCUCAACCUUUGAAAGCCGGUGGAUACUGUCGGGCUAGAGUCCGGAAGAGGCGAGUAGAAUUCCUGGUGUAGCGGUGGAAUGCGCAGAUAUCAGGAGGAAUACCCAUAGCGAAGGCAGCUCGCUGGGACGGUACUGACGCUGAGGCGCGAAAGCGUGGGGAGCGAACAGGAUUAGAUACCCUGGUA
rnacentral:rRNA from 1 species